rfam:Mycoplasma sp. CAG:611_25_7 Ley3_66761_scaffold_23304, whole genome shotgun sequence.
GAAAAAGCGAUAAUAAGAAAAUAGUAAUAAGAAGUAUUACUUUAAGAGAAGAAGUGGUUGGUGUAAACUUCUAAGUAAUAUCUUAUGAAUUCACUCUUUAGCUUUAUCGUUACCUGCGUUAAAGGUUUAAGAUAAGUUAUACUUAUGAAAUAAGGUGGUACCACGAAAUAAUUCGUCCUUUGG